GACGAACGCUGGCGGCGUACCUAAUACAUGCAAGUCGAGCGAAUCAAUGGGAGCUUGCUCCCUGAGAUUAGCGGCGGACGGGUGAGUAACACGUGGGUAACCUGCCUGUAAGAUUGGGAUAACUCCGGGAAACCGGAGCUAAUACCGGAUAAUUUCGAGCAUCGCAUGAUGCUUGAUGGAAAGACGGCUUCGGCUGUCACUUACAGAUGGACCCGCGUCGCGUUAGCUAGUUGGUGAGGUAACGGCUCACCAAGGCGACGAUGCGUAGCCGACCUGAGAGGGUGAUCGGCCACACUGGGACUGAGACACGGCCCAGACUCCUACGGGAGGCAGCAGUAGGGAAUCUUCGGCAAUGGGCGAAAGCCUGACCGAGCAACGCCGCGUGAGCGAUGAAGGCCUUCGGGUCGUAAAGCUCUGUUGUUAAGGAAGAACAAGUACGAGAGUGACUGCUCGUACCUUGACGGUACUUAACGAGAAAGCCACGGCUAACUACGUGCCAGCAGCCGCGGUAAUACGUAGGUGGCGAGCGUUAUCCGGAAUUAUUGGGCGUAAAGCGCGCGCAGGCGGUUUCUUAAGUCUGAUGUGAAAGCCCACGGCUCAACCGUGGAGGGUCAUUGGAAACUGGGAAACUUUGAGUGCAGAAGAAGAAAGC
rnacentral:rRNA from 1 species